rnacentral:rRNA from 1 species
AAGAUGGCUUUGGCUAUCACUCUGGGAUGGACCUGCGGUGCAUUAGCUAGUUGGUAAGGUAACGGCUUACCAAGGCGAUGAUGCAUAGCCGAGUUGAGAGACUGAUCGGCCACAAUGGAACUGAGACACGGUCCAUACUCCUACGGGAGGCAGCAGUAGGGAAUCUUCCACAAUGGGCGCAAGCCUGAUGGAGCAACACCGCGUGAGUGAAGAAGGGUUUCGGCUCGUAAAGCUCUGUUGUUGGAGAAGAACGUGCGUGAGAGUAACUGUUCAUGCAGUGACGGUAUCCAACCAGAAAGUCACGGCUAACUACGUGCCAGCAGCCGCGGUAAUACGUAGGUGGCAAGCGUUAUCCGGAUUUAUUGGGCGUAAAGCGAGCGCAGGCGGUUGCUUAGGUCUGGUGUGAAAGCCUUCGGCUUAACCGAAGAAGUGCAUCGGAAACCGGGCGACUUGAGUGCAGAAGAGGACAGUGGAACUCCAUGUGUAGCGGUGGAAUGCGUAGAUAUAUGGAAGAACACCAGUGGCGAAGGCGGCUGUCUGGUCUGCAACUGACGCUGAGGCUCGAAAGCAUGGGUAGCGAACAGGAUUAGAUACCCUGGUAGUCCAUGCCGUAAACGAUGAGUGCUAGGUGUUGGAGGGUUUCCGCCCUU